CAUAAUGAAGUCAUAUGGUUGAUUCUGGUUAGUUGUCAGAGCAGGUCAUAUUUGUGGAACUUUUAGUUGCAUUAGUUGCAAAUCAGUAAACUUGAAUGAAAAACUUUUUGUUGUCCUUGACUCAACCUACAAGCUCCUAAGUCACAUAGAAUAUUAAGAAAGUGAACUUGCAUUUGUUUCUAAUUUUUCUACUAUUAUAGAAACAUGAGUUUCAGAGUAGAUCGUCGUCGACAUGCCUGCUUCAUUAAGCAGAGGGCAAUUUUGACAUUUUACCUUCUAGGUGUUGUAGCAUUAACAUACGUGUUCAACCUACUCUCAUUCCACGACACAACAUCGCUCUAGAAACAUCCUUCCUUUCAUCUUUUUUUUACACUUGAAAAAAUAAUUUCUUAGUUUCAUCCGAGCCUUUAAAGAGAAAUCAUCAGCUCUAUUCAAUUUCUACCUGGGUGGGUUCUCUUCAAACUCAAUUGUAUAGUGUUGUAGUCGUGCUCUCUUUGACAUACUCUGAGACUCUGGCUUUACAAGGUAAUUGCAUAGUUCGGUCUGUUCUUUUAGUUGUUCUUUAUAUUUGUCACCUAAUUGUGAUUGUAUCUUCUUGGUCUUGUAAUUUUGAUCUAGGAUUCUAAAUUGGAGAAGUCAGUAUGUUAUUACUAAGCAGAGAAGCCUAAUUAUCAGAUUCCAUGGAUGUGAAUAUGCAAAAAUAUAUCUUAGAAUUCUGAUAUUCCAACUUAAAGUAAAUUAACAUCGUCUUCAUUGGACCGACCAUAUAUUCACCCAUGGACACGAUGUUACAACUAAUUGGAUCUAGAAUUUAGCUGACGCUCAUGUUUGUUCAGUUGAUGCUAACAUCCAUCAGUUGGCGACCACUGAUAACUCUUUAUAUUUUUCCAUUUUAGUAAUUACAGUAACAAAUUUAGGUAGGUCUCUUCCAUUGUUGGUUCUCACUGUGCUUUCAUAAUGUCUAAACUAUACAAAAUCUGGCCCCUUGGGAACUUUGGCUUUGACGUCGACCAUUUAAAAAUAUGGUGCUUGUGAUACAGAGGCGCUGCGUGCAGCUGUUAUAAGAAGGUGCAAUUUCCCAAGCAUGUGAUCUCUUUAAACCAUGAAAUAGAACUCUACCCUGUAUUCUAAAGCAGAGUUUAACCUUAUUGUGUCAUCGGAUUAUUGCGACCUCUCAAUUAAUGAACACGAUAUUGUCUGCCUUGAAGGGGAAUGUUCAGAGGAUGCAUUGAUGCAUUCCGGGAUGAAAAUUGUGAUUGAAGAUUGCCCUUUGCAGCAGACAUCCUUCUCAUAUGGUCUAAUCAGGUGACUCAAAAAAAGCUUAUAUAUUGGUCCUUCGGAACAUAUGAGUGAUGUUAGCAACUCGAAUCAGUAGCCUG